rnacentral:misc_RNA from 1 species
GAUGAAGAACGUAGCGAAAUGCGAUAAGUAGUGUGAAUUGCAGAAUUCAGUGAAUCAUCGAAUCUUUGAACGCACAUUGCGCCCUUUGGUAUUCCAAAGGGCAUGUCUGUUCGAGCGUCAUUUGUACCCUCAAGCUUUGCUUGGUGUUGGGCGUCUUGUCUCUAGCUUUGCUGGAGACUCGCCUUAAAGUAAUUGGCAGCCGGCCUACUGGUUUCGGAGCGCAGCACAAGUCGCACUCUCUAUCAGCAAAGGUCUAGCAUCCACUAAGCCUUUUUUUCAACUUUUGACCUCGGAUCAGGUAGGGAUACCCGCUGAACUUAAGCAUAUCAAUAAGCGGAGGA